rnacentral:rRNA from 1 species
GGAGCUUGCUCCUGGAUUAGUGGCGAACGGGUGAGUAACACGUGAGUAACCUGCCCUUAACUCUGGGAUAAGCCUGGGAAACUGGGUCUAAUACCGGAUAUGACUCCUCAUCGCAGGUGGGGGGUGGAAAGCUUUUUUGUGGUUUUGGAUGGACUCGCGGCCUAUCAGCUUGUUGGUGAGGUAAUGGCUUACCAAGGCGACGACGGGUAGCCGGCCUGAGAGGGUGACCGGCCACACUGGGACUGAGACACGGCCCAGACUCCUACGGGAGGCAGCAGUGGGGAAUAUUGCACAAUGGGCGCAAGCCUGAUGCAGCGACGCCGCGUGAGGGAUGACGGCCUUCGGGUUGUAAACCUCUUUCAGUAGGGAAGAAGCGAAAGUGACGGUACCUGCAGAAGAAGCGCCGGCUAACUACGUGCCAGCAGCCGCGGUAAUACGUAGGGCGCAAGCGUUAUCCGGAAUUAUUGGGCGUAAAGAGCUCGUAGGCGGUUUGUCGCGUCUGCCGUGAAAGUCCGGGGCUCAACUCCGGAUCUGCGGUGGGUACGGGCAGACUAGAGUGAUGUAGGGGAGACUGGAAUUCCUGGUGUAGCGGUGAAAUGCGCAGAUAUCAGGAGGAACACCGAUGGCGAAGGCAGGUCUCUGGGCAUUAACUGACGCUGAGGAGCGAAAGCAUGGGGAGCGAACAGGAUUAGAUACCCUGGUAGUCCAUGCCGUAAACGUUGGGCACUAGGUGUGGGGGACAUUCCACGUUUUCCGCGCCGUA